rnacentral:ncRNA from 2 species
GUUUCCGAGGAGCGUUGCGACAGGUCCCGUCACCCGGGUGCCCGCCAGGCUCGGAACGGCGGUGUCGGACUCCCGGACACCGCCUCACAACGGCGCUCACCGACC